AUCGCUUCUUGGCCUUUUGGCUAAGAUCAAGUGUAGUUUCUGUUCUUAUCAGUUUAAUAUCUGAUACGUUCUCUAUCUGAGGACAACAUAUUAAGUGUAUUUUUGCAAGUGGAAGUUGGACCAGGAGCUUGCUUUAUCCACUCUGCACAUCAGCCUCGUAUUGCAGUGCUUCCAGGGAUGGUGCAGGCCUU